UACGAAGGGGGCUAGCGUUGUUCGGAAUUACUGGGCGUAAAGCGCACGUAGGCGGAUAUUUAAGUCAGGGGUGAAAUCCCAGAGCUCAACUCUGGAACUGCCUUUGAUACUGGGUAUCUUGAGUAUGGAAGAGGUAAGUGGAAUUGCGAGUGUAGAGGUGAAAUUCGUAGAUAUUCGCAAGAACGCCAGUGGCGAAGGCGGCUCACUGGCCCGGUACUGACGGUUGAGGUGCGGAAAGCGUGGGGAGCAAACAGG
rnacentral:rRNA from 1 species